rnacentral:rRNA from 1 species
CUACGUGCCAGCAGCCGCGGUAAUACGUAGGUCCCGAGCGUUGUCCGGAUUUAUUGGGCGUAAAGCGAGCGCAGGCGGUUAGAUAAGUCUGAAGUUAAAGGCUGUGGCUUAACCAUAGUACGCUUUGGAAACUGUUUAACUUGAGUGCAAGAGGGGAGAGUGGAAUUCCAUGUGUAGCGGUGAAAUGCGUAGAUAUAUGGAGGAACACCGGUGGCGAAAGCGGCUCUCUGGCUUGUAACUGACGCUGAGGCUCGAAAGCGUGGGGAGCAAACAGGAUUAGAUACCCUGGUAGUCCAUGCCGUAAACGUUGGGCACUAGGUGUGGGGGACAUUCCACGUUUUCCGCGCCGUAGCUAACGCAUUAAGUGCCCCGCCUGGGGAGUACGGCCGCAAGGCUAAAACUCAAAGAAAUUGACGGGGGCCCGCACAAGCGGCGGAGCAUGUGGUUUAAUUCGAAGCAACGCGAAGAACCUUACCAGGUCUUGACAUCCCGGUGCCCGUCCUAGAGAUAGGAUUUUG